rnacentral:lncRNA from 1 species
CCUGCUGAAGGGGGAGACAUGAGCAAGUGAGCAGCCAUUCUCAGGACCAGCCACUCCACGAGGACCAGGCCAUGCAGAAAGGAUGCAGAAAGACGGUGUUACCUCCAAAGAGGCCAUUUGAGGGGAGGGGCUAGAGAUCACUGCUUGCCCCUUUUCAGGCUGGCCCGCUUCACUAUCUGAGCCCCCUUCCUGCUCUCUAUCAGGUCCGGCUGCAGGCUACUCCCUCUCAGCUCCACCUGGAGACAGCAGCAGAGACAGAACGCAGGACAGAUCACACAGAGAGACAGGCAGAAAGUAGGCAUGAGAACGACAGCACUUCCGGCAGCCGUGGAAACCCUGCCUGCCAUAGAGGACAGAGGCACAGGGGAGACCACAGGAGGUGAGCAUGGUGCAGACUGGAGCCCAGAGAGGGCGGGUGCACAGGUGAGCAGUUGGGAGAAGUGACAGGCGCUCAGAAGGGCGAGAGCCUCUGGGAGGCUGCAGCCG